UACGUAGGUGGCGAGCGUUGUCCGGAUUUACUGGGCGUAAAGCGUGCGCAGGCGGUUUUGUAAGCCAGAUGUGAAAGCCCCGGGCUUAACCUGGGAAUGGCAUUUGGGACUGCAAGGCUUGAGUGCGGCAGAGGAGACUGGAAUUCCUGGUGUAGCAGUGAAAUGCGUAGAUAUCAGGAGGAAUACCGAUGGCGAAGGCAGGUCUCUGGGCUGACACUGACGCUCAUGCACGAAAGCGUGGGGAGCAAACAGG
rnacentral:rRNA from 1 species